AUUGAACGCUGGCGGCAGGCCUAACACAUGCAAGUCGAACGAGUGGCGGACGGGUGAGUAAUGUCUGGGAAACUGCCCGCUGGAGGGGGGUAACUACUGGAAACGGUAGCUAAUACCGCAUACCCUCGGAUGUGCCCAGAUGGGUUGAUCUAGUGGGGGGGGUAAAGGCUCACCUAGGCGACGAUCCCUAGCUGGUCUGGGAGGCUGACCAGCCACACUGGAACGGAGACACGGUCCAGACUCCUACGGGAGGCAGCAGUGGGGAAUAUUGCACAAUGGGCGAAAGCCUGAUGCAGCCAUGCCGCGUGUAUGAAGAAGGCCUUCGGGUUGUAAAGUACUUUCGGCGAGGAGGCGUUACUCGCAGAAGAAGCACCGGCUAACUCCGUGCCAGCAGCCGCGGUAAUUC
rnacentral:rRNA from 1 species